rnacentral:rRNA from 1 species
UUGGAGGGCAAGUCUGGUGCCAGCAGCCGCGGUAAUUCCAGCUCCAAUAGCGUAUAUUAAAGUUGUUGCAGUUAAAAAGCUCGUAGUUGAAUUUCGGGGUCAAUAAGUCGGUCGUGCCAAUGGUAUGUACUGGCUUUAUUGAUUCCUACCUCUUGACGAACUGUGAUGCCAUUAAUUUGGUGUUGCAGGAAAUCAGGACUGUUACCUUGAAAAAAUUAGAGUGUUUAAAGCAGGCUUACGCUUGAAUACAUUAGCAUGGAAUAAUGAAAUAGGACGUUUGAACCUAUUUUGUUGGUUUCUAGGAUCGACGUAAUGAUUAAUAGGGAUAGUUGGGGGCAUUAGUAUUCAAUUGUCAGAGGUGAAAUUCUUGGGUUUAUUGAAGACUAACUACUGCGAAAGCAUUUGCCAAGGAUGUUUUCAUUAAUCAAGAACGAAAGUUAGGGGAUCGAAGACGAUCAGAUACCGUCGUAGUCUUAACCAUAAACUAUGCCGACUAGGGAUCGGAUGAUGUUAAUUUUUUAAUGACUCAUUCGGCGCCUUACGGGAAAC